ACUGAGGUGGGGACUGAGGUGGGGACUGAGGUGGGACUGAGGUGGGACUGAGGUGGGACUGAGGUGGGACUGAGGUGGGGACUGAGGCGGGGGCUUACUGGGGGCUGGGAUCCUCUCCCGUCCCGGCCUCCGUCAUUUCUGCCUAGGAUGCCAUUCCGGAGGGGUCGCUCCUGCCUGCGUCCUGUCCUCCUGCUGCUCGUUAUCCAAAGUGCCCUGGACGCCAUGACAGGCAGCGUCCCCCACCACACCUUGAGGAGCCCUCGGGGUCUGGGGUGACCGCACAGCCUCUCCUCGGAGACCUCCACCUUCCCGGCUUCUCCGUCUUCUUCCAUCCGAUGUCUCUGUCCUGCAGACACCCCAGGCCUAAUGGAGGAUUCGGGGAAGCAGGAUCCGGGGCAGUUGUCCCCCACCGUGAGCUCGGCCCUGAGCUGCGAGGGGCUCGGCCCCCCUGCUCGUCCAGCUGCCUCCUGCAUCCCAAGCAAUUCGGUGCUGCGCAGAUCGCCGGCCCCUGUGCCCGGCCCCUCUUUGGAAGGCCGCCUGCUGCUGAGGGCCGGGCCCAGCUGACCGGAGGUGCUGAGAGGGCUGUGGCCACCUGCCCGAGGGCCCACUGCCAGUGGAUCAUGAGCAAAG
rnacentral:lncRNA from 1 species